AUACACCGUUUAUUUGAACUCUUCUAACUAAGGAGGUGAGAUAGGAAUGAAAUCACCAAAACGCUUAGAAAAUAUGUCAAUUUUCUUCCUGUUUAAAGCUUUUAACUAACAUUGAUUAUCAGCUGUUUUGUACGGAAAACGUGGAAUCUAAAUAAUAUACCAUUUCCCUGCUCUGCUGCUAUUGGCAACACAUUUUUGUCAUGUCAUCUGCAACAGACGAUCAUACAUAUGUGGCGGAUUAUCGAUAUAGAUACAACUAGGUAGCAAUAGCAGUGGAAGCCCGGAUUUGCAAGCCAAAUGAGGGAAAGACAUAAUUCUGAAAAGGAGCAUGUUUUUCAUUUCCACACAUGCAUGUGUAUCACUAUGGACAUCUAAUGUUUUUGUGGGAUUUUGUCCA